rnacentral:rRNA from 1 species
GAUUCUGGCUCAGGAUGAACGCUAGCUACAGGCUUAACACAUGCAAGGUCAGGGGCAGCAUGAUCGAAGCUUGCUUUGAUUGAUGGCGACCGGCGCACGGGUGAGUAACGCGUAUCCAACCUUCCCUAUAGUAGAGGAUAGCCCGGCGAAAGUCGGAUUAAUACUCUAUGUUUUCCAGUGCAGACAUCUAAAAUGGAACAAAGGUUUACCGCUAUAGGAUGGGGAUGCGUCUGAUUAGGUUGUUGGCGGGGUAACGGCCCACCAAGCCUACGAUCAGUAGGGGUUCUGAGAGGAAGGUCCCCCACAUUGGAACUGAGACACGGUCCAAACUCCUACGGGAGGCAGCAGUGAGGAAUAUUGGUCAAUGGGCGAGAGCCUGAACCAGCCAAGUAGCCGUGCAGGAUGACGGCCCUAUGGGUUGUAAACUGCUUUUAUAUAGGGAUAAAGUGACCCACGUGUGGGUUUUUGUAGGUACUAUAUGAAUAAGGACCGGCUAAUUCCGUGCCAGCCGCCGC